rnacentral:lncRNA from 1 species
CCCGCAGGUUGGACGAAUGUUGGCACCCUGGUAACCCCGCUUUGAUGCGCAAAAUCCCCAGUGCUCUCCUGUGACCGCUUCCCUGCUUCCAGACCCAGGAAAGGCUGGGGGUCCUUGCCCGGGGCAGGCGAAACUGCGAGAGCCGCUUCUGCACCCUGCUCACUGACCAAAGUGAAUGGGCUAGGCGCCCAGGAGACAUGAGGCCAGCCGCUAGCCUCUCCCCAAACCGCCCUUCGUCGAGCUUUGUGCCUCGGGGAGCGGGAAGUCACCAGCUCAGGGAAAUGGCACCAAUAGGGCGACGGACAAGAGCAGGGACCCCCCGCGCUUCCCAGGAGUCUCUAGGGAAGUACAGAUGCCUCAAGGGUCGAGGAGCGCCCUCGGGCCUUCUCAAGCCCGGAGCAUUCCCAGUACACGCAGCCCCUAGAAACACCGGGCUGUGGCCACGGGCCCCGCUGCCAGGCCUGGACGCUUUGUCCCCUGCCCGCCCCAGGAUGCUACCGCGCGAGGGUUGGACACCAAGGUUCGUCUGCCCGGGAAGCGCAAGCAGCCGCCGCCGAGCCGCUCAGCUCAGAUCCUGGGGCUGCAGGUAUCGUGUAAGCGAGCGGCAAGUUCCCACAGUUGCAAAGAGGGAGCUAAAGUGCUACAGGAGCAGCCACAAAGAAAAGGGGCAGGGAUCUAACUAUGAGUGUCCACUGUGCACACACAUCUUCCCUUCAAGGUAGGUGUAACUAUUUCCAUUUACUACUGGAGAAACUGAAAGAAGAGAGUGACUUGUCCAAGACCAAACAGUUAGGGUUGGUACCAGGAUCCCAGCAGAUUAACUUGACUAGCCCUAUUCACCAGUGACUUCAGAACCCCAUCAGAGGUUCCUAGGAUGUCAUAACUUGCUGUAUUCCAGGGGUUCACCCUGUGAAGAUAAACUCACAGAAUGCUUUCCGAAUAUUCAUCCACAGUACCCUGAGGAAAAUGGAGAACACACAUCAGCCCUAUGUAUGUUCAAGGAGCCUGAAUGUCCAGAAUCUUUAGUGAUCAAAAAAGGUCCAGAUCUCAGUUCUGACCCCAACCCAGAGCUUUAUCCUCAAUGUCAUUUGACAAUUGUAAUUGUGCAAUGACUGGAGAACUGACCUAUGCUGACCUGUCAAUUUCAUUCAUAACUCUUCUUUCCAUCCUAUUCAUCCUUUGAGUUCUCAAGGAAUCCAUUAUGCAACUUCAGGCUUCAAGGCAUGCAUGCAGAAUACACAUCUAUCUUUUUUUUUAAGGUGAAAUUCACAUCACAUAUAUUAUGUGGAUUUAUAUGUUAGGUAAUUCAGCUAGACAAAGUGGUACAUACCCUGUAAUCGCAGCAAUUUGGGAAGCUGA